rnacentral:tRNA from 1 species
GGGGAUUUAGCUCAGCGGCAUAAGCGCCUGCCUUGCAAGCAGGCGGUCGUGAGUUCGAUCUCCAGUACCGA